rnacentral:rRNA from 1 species
UACCCGCUGAAUUUAAGCAUAUCAAUAAGCGGAGGAAAAGAAACUAACCAGGAUUCCCCCAGUAACGGCGAGUGAAGCGGGAAAAGCCCAGCACCGAAUCCCCCGGCGACACCGUCGGCGGGAACUGUGGUGUAUGGGACGCCAACAGCCUUGCCCGGACGGCACACAAGUCCUCCUGAUAGAGGCCCUUCCCCGUGCGGGUGUGAGGCCUUUGGACGGUGCCCGUCCGGCUCGGCCGUGAGCGUCUCUGGAGUCGGGUUGUUUGAGAAUGCAGCCCUAAGCGGGUGGUAGAUUCCAUCUAAGGCUAAAUACCUGUGCGAGUCCGAUAGUUGACAAGUACCGUGAGGGAAAGUUGAAAAGAACUUUNNNNNCUCAGAGGUAAACGGGUGGAACCGCAACACGCACUGCCCGCGGGAUUCAGCCCGUCCCCCAGGUCGCCUGUCCACGCGUCCCCGCGCAGGGGCACCCCCAACGCGUUCGCGCGCGCAGGGGGAGCCCCAGGGACAGCAAGGAAGGCCGGCCGGGGGCGGGUGCAUUUCCCGCGGGCGGUAAGCCACGACCGGUUUCGGGGCGGCCAUAAGCCCGCCGGGGAAGGUAGGAUCGUUCGGGCCCGCGAUACGCCUUCGCGCGCCUCGUCCGAGCGACCCGUUACAGCCCCGGCGGGAGCACAAUCAUACGGCGCCCGCCCCUCGAGACCGAGGACGCCCAACGCACCGGCCCGCCAGUGUCGCCCGCGUCCGGCCCCCCUACCAGUCCACGGGGGUGCCCGGGCCCGCGGGCUCGACCGGCGGGAUGGCAGCAGGGUCCGUGGUGAAGCAGUCGGCACUCCACCCGACCCGUCUUGAAACACGGACCAAGAAGUCUGGCGUGCGCGCGAGUCAAUGGGUCGUACGAAACCCCAGGGCGCAGCGAAAGCGAAAGGUGGGAUCCCCCGCACCGGGCUAAUCCCUCGGGCGGAGGCGCACCACCGGCCCGCCCCGGACCGCCGCCACCCCGCGCGCGCGCGUGUCUAGCAAUAGUAUGCGUGCGUGUUGUCGGGGAGGAUGUCGGUGGGGCGGAGCUCGAGCGCGCACGCCGGGACCCGAAAGAUGGUGAACUAUGCCUGAGCAGGCCGAAGCCAGAGGAAACUCUGGUGGAAG